AUACGGAGGAUCCGAGCGUUAUCCGGAUUUAUUGGGUUUAAAGGGUGCGCAGGCGGCCAUUUAAGUCAGCGGUUAAAUCGUGGGGCUCAACCCCAUUCUGCCGUUGAUACUGGGUGGCUUGAUUGCGGUCGAGGUUGGCGGAAUUCGUUGUGUAGCGGUGAAAUGCAUAGAUAUGACGAAGAACACCGAUUGCGUAGGCAGCUGACCAGAUCGCAAAUGACGCUCAUGCACGAAAGUGCGGGGAUCGAACAGGAUUAGAUACCCUGGUAGUCCGCACAGUAAACGAUGAAUACUUGCUUUCGGCGAUAUAAUGUCGGAGGCAAAGCGAAAGCGAUAAGUAUUCCACCUGGGGAGUACGCCGGCAACGGUGAAACUCAAAUGAAUUGACGGGG
rnacentral:rRNA from 1 species